rnacentral:lncRNA from 1 species
GAACAUGAGUGAUCUAAAUUUUUAUUUAAAAUACUUUCACAUCAUUUUCUUUAUAAAUCGAUACAUAAGGGCGGUCUGCAUCUGUCAAGUACCACACAUUUAAUUAUAACAGAAUGCUUACAUCAUUCAUAUCCUGACCCUAAACUUCGUGAAUUCCAGAAUACAGACUGCACAGAAGAAAGAUCUGUCUUUAAUCCCAACUGUCACUUAGGUGCAAAACCUCCGCUGUAUCAUUUUUGUUACGUUAGUCUCCUUGUCUAUAAAAUCAGCAUUUCCUCAUAAAGCCAUAGUAAGGUCUAGAUGACACUAUGGGAAUGCCAAUCCUAUGAGUGCAUCGUAUAACAUGUAACCAACUUUAAAAUCACCUUACAAGGGAUCCUAAAAAUCACCCUGUGUCUCACAGAAGUCACAUUUUCCUAAAAUUUACAAAUUACUUAUGAAUACAAUAGAUUACAAAGUUAGGAUUCUCUAGGUUCUAAUAUACAAGGAUAAAUAACUUAAAAACA